rnacentral:rRNA from 1 species
CUACGUAGGUGGCAAGCGUUGUCCGGAAUUAUUGGGCGUAAAGCGCGCGCAGGCGGUCCUUUAAGUCUGAUGUGAAAGCCCACGGCUCAACCGUGGAGGGUCAUUGGAAACUGGGGGACUUGAGUGCAGAAGAGGAAAGUGGAAUUCCAAGUGUAGCGGUGAAAUGCGUAGAGAUUUGGAGGAACACCAGUGGCGAAGGCGGCUUUCUGGUCGGUAACUGACGCUGAGGCGCGAAAGCGUGGGGAGCAAACAGGAUUAGAUACCCUGGUAGUCCACGCCGUAAACGAUGAGUGCUAAGUGUUAGGGGGUUUCCGCCCCUUAGUGCUGCAGCUAACGCAUUAAGCACUCCGCCUGGGGAGUACGGUCGCAAGACUGAAACUCAAAGGAAUUGACGGGG